rnacentral:rRNA from 1 species
GAUGAACGCUAGCUGCAUGCCUAACACAUGCAAGUCGAGGGGAAGGACGAGGGUUUCUCGCCAUCGCCGUUGGCGACGGGCGCACGGGUGAGUAGUGCGUAACCAACCUACCAUACUCGGCGAACUAAGGGGACCCGGGGCUAACAACGGCCAAUAUAUUGCACUGCACGGCUCCAGAGUGAAAGACGAGUUUUCUGGGAGUUGGAGAGGGAUGCGUCCGAUUUGCUGGACGGCGGGGUGUCAGCGCACCGUGACGACGCUCGGUAGGGGUUCCGAGAGGAAGGUCCCCCACACUGGAACUGAGACACGGUCCAGACACCUACGGGAGGCAGCAGUGAGGAAUAUUGGUGAGUGAGCGUAAGCCUGAACCAGGCAAGUAGCGUGCAGGAUGACGGCCCUAUGGGUUGUAAACUGCUUUUAUGCGGGGAUAAAGUGGACUACGUGUGGGUUUUUGCAGGUACCGCAUGAAUAAGGCCCGGCUAAUUCCGUG